GCCAGGGGGUGUGGGGAAGCACACCUGUAAUCCCAGCAACCUGGGAGGUUGAGGCAGGAGGAUCACAAGUUCCAGCCUUAGCAAUUUAGUGAGCCCCUGUCUCAA
rnacentral:sRNA from 1 species